rnacentral:lncRNA from 1 species
ACAAAAUAUUUCAUUUUAUUUUAAAAAUGUCACCUCCAGAGCCAUUGGUUUAUAAUCCUCCUUAAGGAAUACCCAAGCACAAAAGUCACAUAGUCACCACCUGGGUGGAAUAGAGUAUUCCAUGUAUAUGGCUGUGAUGUGGAAAUUGGUCUGAGUUGUUGAGUAAUUAUACUUAAGCAUAUGCUUUCACUCUAUAAAACGGGGGUGAGUAAUAUCAAUUUAAGGGAGAAGAAGAGCCCUCUGAAUUUCUUCACGCAGUUGGAUAUCCAGCUGCUCUUGUUUUCAGACUGCAAGCACAUUUCCUUUGCAAACUUGUUCACUCCUGUACUGUUUGCAGGCUCUGCCUUUGAAAGGCAGGCAACACUUAAAAACUACAGGGCAGAACCUAUCUGAUUCUAUUGCCAUCACGAGCAGCUGCCGCACCCCGCAUUCCCUGAGGAGGUGAGCUGCCCUCCAGCCACUGCGGAUACUGCAGGAACGCAGCGCAUCUGCCGGAGUCAGGGGCUCACUGCGCUUGUGCGGCUGUCGGGGCCAACGUGCCGUUCAUGUACAGUUUGGCAGCUUCAGAAUCCACACGUAAAAACAGCUGUGAAAUAGUUCGCUGCACGGUGCCUCCCUUCCCAUCCAGCCACCUGGUUGAUGCUGAGAGGCGCAGUGUGGCCAUGCCUCUCUCAUGUCGCUUGGUAGCCAACAUCGCCCAGAACUUCUUGGGAGUUUGCAAAAGCCAUACUGCAUGGUCUGGUUUUCCGUACAGCUCCCAGAGAACUCUUGGUUGUUUCAGCCUAAUUGCAUCCUUUAAGUGCCUCUGAACGCUCACUUUCCGACCCCUCUUACUCUCCUAUCCUUACGCCUCUGCUGUCUCAAGCUCAGUGAAGGGACUCUGAUAUUACGCAUGUGUUCGUUCCUUCAGCCACUCAAUAAACGUUUAUAGAACAUCUUAAAUCUUAGCUCUCACUUGCAAAUCUUAAUGUUCCUUUGUUUCAUCCUCCCCCUUUUUUUGUAUGCUUUUUCUUUUCUGGUGGCUCCAUGAAUGGGGCUUAAGGGUCUGUCCUCCCUGGAUUUACUCUUCAUGGCAAUAUUUUCCAAGCUUUGAUCCACUCCCUUCUUCCCACCUAUACAGCCUCCAUCUUUUCUGCUUUGCAGUGGAUGCUCUACUCUGUUGCGCCCCUUAUUCCUUGAGGAAGUCUUGAGUGGCAGAAAUUAGAACGAAACACGACUUUUGAAAAACACAGCUAACAUAAAAAGCAAGUUUGAGCCUAUUACUGUCACCUGUACCUAUUACUCUCAAAUACAAUGAUCUGUCUAUUAAAAAGGGAAAGGAUGAUGCCCAUUGCAAAGUACUGGAUAUAUGCACUACAUUGCCAAAAGUCUCAAAGGUUACCCAGUUAGCUAGAACCAUAAUCUUUCAUUUUAGUCAAAUUUGGUGAGUCUAGAUAAUCUUAGUGGCAGAAGUCUUGCCCUGAAUAAAACCAACAAUUACUUGAGCGUGUAUUAUGUGCAAGGUAUUAUAAGACAUACAAAGAGGUUCAGAAUGUACUUGCUCCUUUUGAAGAGCUUAAAAUUCAUGGUAGAGAUCUAUACAUAUAAAAGGAAAUUACAAAGCGAAUGAGUCAUUCAGAUUUUAAGGGCAGUAGGAGAGCAGAAAAAAGAAUCAUUACUGGUGGCUAGGAUUAUCAGAGAAAUACAGGGGCAAAGGACAUUUUCCCCUUUUUAAAUAAAGUCUUUCUGAAGGGAGGCAGGAGAAGGGGAUGACAGUGGAUGAGAUAGUUGGAUGGCCUCAGUGACUUGAUGGAAGUGCGUUUGAGCAAGCUCUGGGAGUUGCUGAUGGCCAGGGAAACCUGGUACGUUGCAGUUCAUGGGGUCGCAAAGAGUCGGUUCGGACAAGACUGAGCGACUGAACUGAACUGAAGACAGGUAGGCUUAUUUGUGCUGCAGAACAUGAACUCUACAGAGAGAAAACACUUGGAUUACUCUAUUCACUACUUCUUCAUUGUUCAAGAUGGGUUUAUUUUGUAUUAUUGUUGGAUGUUUUCCUCUUUUUGUUUCUCUUAAAUUGAUUGCACAUUUGCCUAAUUUAAUUGCUUAUGUGUUUCCUUGAAAGAUUAUGUCAAUGAAAUUUCUUUUUCUAGGAACCAAAUCCUUAUUUUGGGUUACGAGUUCUUGUUUUAUUGUCUAUAAUGAAUUUGGCUCAUUGUAUGUGGAUUAAACCUACUGUAGAGAGGAGUUAUUGAAUAUCAGGGCAUUGUAGCGACAAGGCCACAAGUCUUAGGAACAGAUACACUUCCCUGGCAGUUCAGUGGUUAAGGCUCCAUGCUCUCAAUACAGGAGGCAUGGGUUUGAUCCCUGGUUAGAGAACUAAGAUCCCACAUGCCGCACUGUACAGCCAAAAAACCAAAAUGUAGAGAGACAACUGGGCUUGAGUUUGAAUUCAGCCUCUACUCCUGACCUUGCUACUUGAACUUUAUUCACUUAUUUAGUCUCUUAGCC